AACGAACGCUGGCGGCAUGCCUAACACAUGCAAGUCGAACGAGAUCUUCGGGUCUAGUGGCGCACGGGUGCGUAACGCGUGGGAAUCUGCCCUUUGGUUCGGAAUAACAGUUGGAAACGACUGCUAAUACCGGAUGAUGACGAAAGUCCAAAGAUUUAUCGCCAGAGGAUGAGCCCGCGUAGGAUUAGCUAGUUGGUGUGGUAAAGGCGCACCAAGGCGACGAUCCUUAGCUGGUCUGAGAGGAUGAUCAGCCACACUGGGACUGAGACACGGCCCAGACUCCUACGGGAGGCAGCAGUGGGGAAUAUUAGACAAUGGGCGAAAGCCUGAUCCAGCAAUGCCGCGUGAGUGAUGAAGGCCUUAGGGUCGUAAAGCUCUUUUACCCGGGAUGAUAAUGACAGUACCGGGAGAAUAAGCUCCGGCUAACUCCGUGCCAGCCGCCGCAGUAACAC
rnacentral:rRNA from 1 species